GACGAACGCUGGCGGCGUGCCUAACACAUGCAAGUCGAGCGGAGAUUGCAGCAAUGUAAUUUUAGCGGCGGACGGGUGAGUAACGCGUGGGCAACCUGCCUACCACUGGGGGAUAACACAGGAAACUUGUGCUAAUACCGCGUAAUAUCAUGAUAAGACAUCUUAUUAUGAUCAAAGGAGCAAUCCGGUGAUAGAUGGGCCCGCGUCCGAUUAGCUAGUUGGUGAUGUAACGGACCACCAAGGCGACGAUCGGUAGCCGAACUGAGAGGUUGAUGGGCCACAUUGGGGAUGAGACAAGGCCCAGACUCCUGCGGGAGGCAGCAGUGGGGAAUAUUGCGAAAUGGGGGAAACCCUGACGCAGCAACGCCGCGUGAAGGAUGAAGGUUUUCGGAUCGUAAAAUUCUUUGAUGAGGGACGAAGAAUGACGGUACCUCAAAAACAAGCCACGGCUAACUACGUGCCAGCAGCCGCCGUAA
rnacentral:rRNA from 1 species